UAUGGACUGCACUUCGAGUAGCUCCAACCUAGACUGUCGAAUCAAGAACGUCGUCCUGGAGGAAAUGAUUUUUGCUUAGUGUUCUGUGAUGAAUCUAUGAUCACUAUGACCAUCAUAGAUCACCGUAAUCUAUAUUAAAGAGCAAAUAGGCGAAAUCGAGAUGGGAAGGAGAAUUCCAGGUAAAGAGAAUCCAGGAGAAGAGGAGUGUGGCUGGAACACGCAGGUUCACUGGAGCACUGCAAAUUAGACUGAAAAAAGACAGAUUAUCGGGAGAAAAAAAUACAAAGAAGCUAAUAGGCCGAAGAGCUUAUAUACCAUUUUAAACAAAGAAUGAUAAACUGUGGAGACUUGACAGGAAAGAAAAAAGGGUUUGAGGCUUUCCAGAGCAGUCCACUAUGGGAAGAUCUCACUCUGCACAAUUAAACACCAAUACCACCAACCUGAGUAGGCCUUCCAGGAAAUACUGGGAAAAUUAAAAAGCCACACCCACUGAACCAUUCUAUGGUCACUCAGCAUUUGAAGCAAAUUAUAAAGGUGAAAAAGCUCGAUAAGUGGGUGCUUCAUGAGCUGACCGAGAGUAAAAAAAAAAUUGUCGUUUUGAAGUGUCAUCUUCUCUUACUCUAUGCAACAACGAUGAACCACUUCUUGAUUGGAUUGUGAUGUGCAAGGAAAAGUGGAUUUUAUGUAACAACUGGUGAUGACCAGCUCAGUGGUUGGAUCAAGAAGAAGCUCCAAAGCACUUCCCAAAGCCAAACUUGCAUCAAAAAAAGGUUAUGGUCACUGCUUGGUGGUCUGCUGCCAGUCUGAUCCACUACAGCUUUCUGAAUCCCUGGGAAACCAUUACGGCUGAGAAGUAUGCUCAGCAAACCAAUGAGAUGCACGGAAAACUGCAGUGCCUGCAGCCGGCAUUGGUCAACAGGAAGGGCCCAAUUCUUCUCCACUGCGAUGUCCGACUGCACAUCACAACCAACACUUCACAAGUUGAACAAAUUGGGCUACGAAGUCUUGCCUCAUCUCCCAUAUUCACCUGACCUCUUGCCAGCCGACUACCACUUCUUCAAGCAUCUCGACAACUUUUUGCAGGGAAAAUGCUUCCACAACCAGCAGGAUGCAGAAAAUGCUUUCCGAAAGUUUGUCGAAUCCCGAAGCAUGGAUUUUUAUGCUACAGGAGUAAACUUAUUUCUCAUUGGCAAAAAUGUAUUGAUUGUAAAGUUUUCUUUUUUGAUUAAAGAUGUGUUUGAGCCUAGUUAUAAUGAUUUAAAGUUCACGGUCCAAAGCUGCAAGUACUUUUUGCACCAGCGAGAUGUGCGUAUGAGAGGCUUAUUUCACCCAGCCUCUUUUCCUGUCAUCUGUAGAAUUAUUUCAAGCACAGGAGGGACCCUACUUCAUAUUGGGGAGGAUUAAGGAAGACUUCCUGGAGGAUUGUCUCAGAGCUUGCUGCAGGUGCAUAUUGAAAAGCAAUUCAUUACAAUUUUCUAUAAGAGACUGUGGCUGAACAGUCUGAUAUACAGGUAUGGUCAGAACCUUGUGUAACAAUUUCUCCAUCACGUGUGUAGAAAUCUUAAGGAAAGGAAUACUCUCUCUCAGCAAGCUGAGCCCUGUAGCCAGGUACCUUGAGUAGUGUUUCCUGAAUCUUUAAAACCCACUGACUUCAAAUGGCAUGACUUCCAGACUACAGAGGUGGGUAUAAAGAGCAACUAAGCCCCCCACACCCUUAAAAUCACAUCUUGCCAAAAUCAUGAAGACUUUCAGAGCUUGUGGAUUCAUUCCUCUUUCCAUUGCCACUGCAAAAGCUCAUAGGAAAUUUUUCUCUGUAUGUAAAGAAGGAAAUCAUGCUCUUGCAGCUGCAUCCUGAGUAAUCACUUUUGAGAUAAAACUAUUUUUCUAGCCAUAAAGGCUAUAUUUGAAUUUCACCAGCUGCUUUCUUAAUGAUUACUGGACUAUUUUGAUAAUGGCACCAGCUUCAAGAAAGGUGGUGGUGCUACCUAACCUUUCUUCUUUCUUUGAUAAGAAAGAUUUUUGCAUCAGGGGAGAUUACACUUAUUUAAUGUAAUCCAGAUGUCUCCUUUCUCAGUGUUCUCCAAUUCUGCCAGCCUCAUUGAUCACUCCAACUAUUACUAUUCAAAUACAAAUGGCCUGCAUAUGUAAAGGGAAACUCAGAAUAGUUCACUAUUAAUUUUUUUCUUUUCUUUUCCUUUUCUUCCUUCCUUCCUU